rnacentral:ncRNA from 2 species
AGGUUGGGAUUGGUUGCAAUGCU